rnacentral:misc_RNA from 1 species
GUGAAGAACGUAGUGAAAUGCGAUAAGUAAUGUGAAUUGCAGAAUCCAGUGAAUCAUCGAAUCUUUGAACGCACAUUGCGCCCGCCAGCAUUCUGGCGGGCAUGCCUGUUCGAGCGUCAUUUCAACCCUCGACCUCCCUUUGGGGAAGUCGGCGUUGGGGACCGGCAGCACACCGCCGGCCCUGAAAUGGAGUGGCGGCCCGUCCGCGGCGACCUCUGCGUAGUAAACCAACUCGCACCGGAACCCCGACGUGGCCACGCCGUAAAACACCCAACUUCUGAACGUUGACCUCGAAUCAGGUAGGACUACCCGCUGAACUUAAGCAUAUCAAUAAGCGGAGGA